CGUCAUUUAGCGACUUCUAGCGACUUUUAGGACAACCAAUAGCGAUUUUCCUUACUGAGGAGUUGGCAACACUGUUUCAAAGUAGCGACACACGGAAAGAAGAAAUGUGAUGGCAGAGUCUACGCUAGAGCUGAAGAGGACGAACACCUUUGGCCUCACAUACAAAGAAUGUUUCGCUUAAAAGCAGCACAAAAGAACAGCUAUGUCUGCAGUGUCGGUGUCUUCAGUGAGAGCCAAAACAAACCAGCGUGAAACAACUCAACUCGUUUAACCUGAGGAAACGGUCUCCACUUCAUCAGACAUCACCUAGACACAGAGCUGGAUGAGGCCAGGACAAACAGCAGCCUAACCGGCGAAGAUGAUGGAUCCAUGGGGUCAGGAAAGCCAGAAGCAGAGGAACUGGAGAGGUACCUUUCAUGUCCAUUCACUGGAGGUGUGGAUCUAUUGCAUGGCUUUCCUCAGAUCAAGAAGCUGUCGAUCAAAGUCAAUACAGCUCUUCCUGCAUCUGCAGCCUGUGAGAGACUUUUUAGUCAUGCAGGACUCCUGUUCACUGCCAAACGGUCACAGCUUCACAGCAAGAACCUUGAGAGCAAACUGCUGUCUGAUUUGAUGUUACAAUUAAAAAUGUUUGUGUUUUUAUCUGAAGAGUUUAUAAAUAUCUGGUUUCCACUGUAUAUUUGAUGAAUGUCAGCACAAAGAGGGAGAGAGAGGAACAAGAGCAGGUGAGACACACAUGUUAGUCAAAUGGUUGUUUACCAAAAGUAUCACCGUAUCACAGGAACUCAUGUAUCUCGUACCUAGUGUUUCUUUUUAGGUUUGUUAUUUUUCAAAUUCUAUAUUUAUUAAGUUAUGCAGGCUUGUUUGCACAACAAGGCUAAAUAAUUAUAUAAACUUCUCUGAAUCUAAAUAGUGGACUUUGGUAGAAUUAAAAAAUAAGUGUAGUGCAGGUCUAUGAUGGUUUUAGUGCUACUAUCAUCUAGUUCUGGUUCUAGUUCUGUCCUGGUUAAGUCCUAAGUAGUCCUGAUUUUGAACUGUUGUAGUCCUGUUUUAAUUCCAGAUCAGUUCUGGGUCUGGUUGAAUUGGGGUUUAGUCCCUGUGUCUUGAUACAGCCCCGACUUUGUUCUGCCUUGCUGCUUAAUUUAAAAACUAGUUUAAGGUGUCCUGCAUAUGUGAUAUAUAUAUAUUCCCUAUAUGAAGUCAUUCUUUUUUGAACAAAACUGAAAACAGAGGCAAUUAAUCUUUCAGCUGAAGCUGAACCACCAUUUCACUGAAGAAACAAUUUAUGGUAAAGUGAGCCAUACACAUAUGUACAUCCACAUAGUGGAAAUUUGUAUUUGUCUUUUAUAAUUAGUUUUACUCUGAUUUCAGUGUUUAUUUGUGAGUGUAGUUUUUACAUUUUUACAUAUUACAUUGUGUUAAUCCACUGUCUAUACUUCAGGGUAUUUUAGUAUACAGAAUAAGUUUUGUUAGAAUGUCUAUUCUUAUGGAAUUUUAGCACAGAUGUGUUUUUUUUUUUUUUUUUUUUUUUUUUUAUUCCUGCUGCCUGCCUUGGGAAUAAACUUUUCCUGAUUAUACCUGUUGCAUCUCUGUGUCAUUUGUUUCUGAUUUACUUAAUCCCUCCUUGUAUUUAAAAGAACCACCCCUAGUAUGACAUUCUGGCGCAUCAGCUGCAGUCUGUUAUGUUGAAGUUGCCUCGUUCUAAUGUUUUCUCUGAGGCUGCUGUAAAUGCGAAUAUAUUCACUGUGGGUUUUGCUUGAAAAAGCUUUACGUUGUGAAAAACUGAAAUCUUGAAAUUAGAAUUGUUGUGCCUUAUUUUG
ensembl:lncRNA